rnacentral:rRNA from 1 species
GGGAAAUUAUCUGAUGAGAUGGAGAUCGGUUGUCGCUGGCUUCUUCAUUGAGGCAUGUGCACGCCUUUCUCUAUUCAUCCAACACACACCUGUGAACUCGUGAGACGGAUAGUAGUCUACUCUGGAUUUAUUCAUUUAAUUCCGGGGGGCGACGAGGUCCGUCUGUCAAUACAUAAACUCCAAUUAAAUAAAUCUGAAUGUAAUCUGAUGUAACGCAUCUAUAAACUAAGUUUCAACAACGGAUCUCUUGGCUCUCGCAUCGAUGAAGAACGCAGCGAAAUGCGAUAAGUAAUGUGAAUUGCAGAAUUCAGUGAAUCAUCGAAUCUUUGAACGCACCUUGCGCUCCUUGGUAUUCCUCGGAGCAUGCCUGUUUGAGUAUCAUGAAAUUAUCAAAAUAAAUCUUUUGUUCAUUCGAUCGAUUUUAUUUUGGACUUGGGGGUCUGCAGAUUCACGUCUGCUCCCCUUGAAUGCAUUAGCUGGAUCACUGUAGACUCGGUUCCACUCGGCGUGAUAAGUAUCACUCGCCGAGGACACUCUGUAAAAAGAGUGGCCGGGACUAUUAGAGAACCGCUUCCAAUAGUCCAUUUGCUUGGACAAUAAACAUUAAUGAUCUGAUCUCAAUUCAGGGAAGGAUAACCCGCUGAAUUUAAGAUAAGGGUGGUUUACCCCACUUAGGUGUUUGUGGGGAGAGAAGUUACCCGCGGGGUUUUUUGUAUUUUUCCGAGUAGGAAACACGUUUCUCGUCUUUCUUCUCCAGUUGCGAACCCGGGAGAGGGAAGUGGACAUUUUAUUUUAAGGCGCUCCCCGCCUCAUUUUGAUUUUUCUAGUAGGGAUUUUGGUCAGGAAGACGAGCAGCCGCGGAAUAUAAUUUUAAUGAG